AGGAUCAUCGUGUCCGGACCACUUCCAACGUACCAGCGAGGAAUUGAAAGGUUUAGUAGACUUUUUGCUUUUAAUGAAUGGCUUCAGUCAUGGUGUCCGGCUCAGAAUCUACACUUUAUUGAUAACUGGAAUGUUUUCUGGGAGCGUCCUAGGCUGUUCCGCGCUGACGGCCUGCACCCCAGCAGAGUUGGAGCGGAGAUCCUCUCGGACCACAUCUCCAGGGCGCUGCACACCUUCUGACUGACACCCAUGCUAAGAUCGUCUUCCGUGCGUUGAAAUUUCUGGACCUCCACUGAGACAAGGCUGACUCUGUGAGAACCCUGAGACAUCUACAGAU